rnacentral:misc_RNA from 1 species
UUGAUUUAUUCAAUAUUGACUCGGACGCAACGAUGCAGGGUUGGGCGGUCCACCGGGGGCCCCCGCCGUGAGGCCGGGUCGCCCCCGAGGCAACAGAGUCGGAUUUCAAAGGGUUGGAGGUCGAGCCAGAAGGCCCUCACUCGGUAAUGAUCCCUCCGCAGGUUCACCUACGGAGA